CGAACGCUGGCGGCGUGCUUAACACAUGCAAGUCGAACGGUGAAGCGCCUUCCUUUUUGGUGGGUGUGGAUGAGUGGCGAACGGGUGAGUAACACGUGAGUAACCUGCCCCCUUCUUCUGGAAAACCGCAUGAAAGUGUGGCUAAUACGGGAUAUUCUGGGUCUGUCGCAUGAUGGGUCUGGGAAAGAUAUUGUUUCGGUGGGGGAUGGGCUCGCGGCCUAUCAGCUUGUUGGUGGGGUGAUGGCCUACCAAGGCGGUGACGGGUAGCCGGCCUGAGAGGGUGGACGGUCACACUGGGACUGAGACACGGCCCAGACUCCUACGGGAGGCAGCAGUGGGGAAUAUUGCACAAUGGGCGCAAGCCUGAUGCAGCGACGCCGCGUGAGGGAUGGAGGCCUUCGGGUUGUGAACCUCUUUCGCCAGUGAAGCAGGCCUGCCUCGUUUGUGGGUGGGUUGACGGUAGCUGGAUAAGAAGCGCCGGCUAACUACGUG
rnacentral:rRNA from 1 species